UCAGGUGACCUCUGUUUGUUGGCAUGCAUGCUCUUACUCUUCAUGCCUGCUUGCUUGGAUGGAAAAAGCUGCCAGGUUGUGAGCUGCUGUACGGAGAAAUCCCCAUGGCAGGGAGCUGAGGGGAACCUGCUGCCAACAGCCAAGGAAGAACUAAGGUCCUCAGCCCAGCCACCCAGGAAGAACUGAAUCUUGCCAGCAGCCACAUGAGUGAACUUGGAAGUGGGUCUUUUCCCAGGUGCAUUUGGAUGGGACCUGAACGUAAAAGAAAGAGAAAGCGUGAAUCUCUGGGGAACCAAGCAGGGGUCAGGGAACACAUUCUCUAGUUGUUCUGAAGAAUUCUCUUUUGUGACAUCUGGGACCAGAGGCCUUCCAGUCUGGUGUAAGAACAUAAAAAAUAAAGUUUGCAAUCUUGUUCUGUGA